GAGGAUGGGGAAAGUCUCAUUUUCUGAGGGUUAGUUUUUAUACUGCUGCAGCUAUGAGACAUGACUUCUGAAGAUUCGGCCUAUGCCACUUCACACAAAUGGCAGAUGUAGAAUGGUUCUAACAAUGCUUCUAGAAGGAACGUUCUGGUACUACUGUAAGAUAUAAACAGAAGCCGAGAUACCUUAGCAUGUGUAGGAAAGUCAGCAUCAUGCCUGUCUUUCCUCCCUUGCCCCUUCCCCCCCCCCCAAGCACAGAUCUGUAGGUUUAAUGCAGUCCUUCUCCAUAUUAAAUAUUCUCAUGGAAACCAUCAUUUUCAGUAUUUUUGAGACUGUUUCCUCCUCCCUCCCUGGUGAUUCCUUAUCAAAUAUUUUCCAUUUUGUUUAUAUUUUGGGGGUUUUGGGGGGGUGUUUUGUUUUUUUGUUUUUUAGGAUAGGGUCUCUGUUAUAUAGUUCUGGCUUCCCUGUAUACCAGGCUGGCUUCAAACACAAUGAGAUCACUCCCAAGGGCUGGAAAUAUAUGAGCCACCACCCCACAGUCAAAUUCUUCACUGUGAUUCUCCCCAGCCCUUAGAAUUUACUGACCAGAAAGCUGAGAUUCUUCAACUUUCUAUGUGCCCUGUCCAUUCAACUGAUGGUUGUCACAUAUUCUGGAGUCCAGCGUUCUAGACUCAAACUACUCCUUUAAUGACUAGAAAUCGCUGAGCCUUCUGAAAUGGGCCUAGAUCCACCCCGCCCCCGCCCCGCGAGCAUGAGUUUGCGGUUCUCUAUUAGCAAAUCUGGAAAAUGACAACCCCAGACUGAUGCAGCCUCCUAAUUGCCUGCUUUGUUCUGGGGCAUGGAAAGCCUGGUAAUUAACUACAAGACCCUGACGGUCCCAGAAGCUUCUUGCACUGCUCAAGGAAUGAAGACUCCCCACGACCGCACCACACUCUCCUCCCCACCAGCUGCAUCAGAUAGAUCCCUUCGGGAUGCCUGGUUCUCAGCUCAGAAAACUUCGCUCUAAGGAUCCACUGAGCUGCUUGCCUGCCCGCUCUCUGGCUCGGCUGACCCAGGUUUCCUUCCUAACUAGCUCCGACAAUGCUGCAACCUGCGGGGAGGCCUAUGCUGGACACCGAGGAGACAGGGGUCGCAGUCUCCUCCUGCUUGCUCUUUGGCGUUUACCAGCUUCAGGUUAGGCGGGACUUUGAAUCUUCUCCCUGGGAGCGACGGCAGCAGCUGAGAGCCCCAAAGGGGGCCACCAGGGGUCGCCACGUGGGUCCUCGACCCCGCUGAUCAGACAGACGGGCAGGGCUGGGUAGUUCUGCAGCUGCGCAUUCGCGGAGGCUGCCCCCCUCUCGUGCUGCGGCGCUCGCUCAGAUGCAAAGUAAACCGCCAAUGUCGUGCGCUGAGUCUGCCUUCGAAUGGGGCCCUUCCCUAUACCAGAGGGAAUCGGACACGCACCACCGUUUUCCACACGCUUUCUGCUGUCGCAGACCCAGUAGAGAUCAUUUCGUUCUUGUCUGCUAUGUGGAAGCAAUUAAUCGUAAGGUUUGAGGGAGACUGAAAGAAUCCGCCGAAGAGGAUUCGGGUCACGUGGGUCCCGGAGCAUUGGCAAGGAUGACCCAGCCGCACGCUGCCUGCACUGUACACAGAUGACCACGCGAUGGCGCCAGCGAGUCACUUCGCUCCUAAAUCUUAUUUCUCUUCUUUUACUAUCUAUCUAGGUAGAGAGUCUUGAUUGGAGUUUGUUUUCUCUGCCAGUUAAAGAAUUAAAGGCAGGAAUUUUGUGAAACAGGUAACAAAGGGGUAAAUCUCAGACACAGCAGACAGAAUCAACCCGUGAAUAAAGGUUAUUAGGGUGAGGAAAAGCACACAGCACAGCCCACAGAAAGAUUGGGGGUCAUCUCAGGAAGUUGGCUUUUUCUGGAGGUGGGGGGGGAGGGGACUUGAGGAUCUUUUAAGGAAUAUUCUCCUAAUCUAGAAUUUGUCAGUUUGAAUAAAGACAGAGAAAAACAGAUAGGCCCACAUUUCUGAGUAAACAGAACUAGUCUGGCCCUGGACUUGGACUGUGCUGCCUGCCCCUGCUGGCAAGAAAAAAAGUCCACCCAGUCUUUGUCUCAGGCCAGGAGCAGUAAGAAAUAAAAACAAGUGGUCUGCCAAAUUGUCUGUUACCUCUCCCUGUGUCUGCCUAUCAACGAUCUAAAUCCUGCCCUUCAUUUCCUCCCUUCCUAUUUUGUAACUUGAUUGGGAGGUGUCACGCUGUCCAAAAGGCUGGACACACCUGCAUGCGAUGGGGAAACAGGUGGAGCAAUGGGCGAGUGAGGUAACUGCCUCUCUACUGAGAAACUCAGGGAAGUUGUGAGGCCACUGGCCAUUUAUCAGCAUGCUUUUAUUCCCAAUGAUAACCACAGAAGCUCUAAGUCCUGACCUCAAGAUGCAAGGUUUUUUUGUUUUGUUUUGUUUUGUUUUGUUUUGUUUUGUUUUUUUGAGACAGGGUUUCUCUGCAUAGCCCUGGCUGUCCUGAACUCACUCUGUCCACCAGGCUGGCCUUGAACUCAGAAAUCCGCCUGCCUCUGCCUCCCAGGGUGCUGGGAUUACAGGCGUGCGCCACCACUGCCCGGCAAUGCAAGUCUUUAUGGAGGACAGAUGGAUAGGAGCCACAGACAGACUAAAAAAAUAAACAAAAGCCAGGGACACUUCUAGCUUGUGUUUUAUCCUUCUGGCCAGAGGCAAAGGCCUGGCAACCUGAAACCAAAGGCCAGAGAGCUUAUUCUCCCCACUGGCCGCUCCCGCUUCCUGUGCUGUUCUGUAAGCUUGAGGCCUGACCUUGGCUAUUUAUCCAAAGCCGCUCUGGGCUUAUCAGCCCAGGGUGGCCCCAAUCUCAUCCUCAGUAGCUGAAGAUAACCUGAACUUCUGAUCCUCCUACCUGUACCUCCAGGAUCUGGUUUUAUUUCUUUGUCUAAACUGAGCAACCCUAAACAGGGAAGGGGGACCCCCGCCAAAUUCUAGCCCCCCAAAAACUCUGUGUGAGCCUUUGCUGCCUUGCUGGUGUGUGGUAUGCAUGUACACAAACAUGUGUGCAUGGUGUGUGUGUGUGUGUGUGUGUGAGAGAGAGAGAGAGAGAGAGAGAGAGAGAGAGAGUCUCCUUGCCUUUAAUAAAAGUUUUAAUAAAAUCCCCUUAAUAAAAGUGGAUUUCAUUCAUUGCUUCUGCUGCUGUGUCUGGGAUCCUCCUAACUGCUGAACUGGAGAUCUCUUGUGUCUUUUAAUUCUUAAUUGACAAAAAAACAACUUAACCCAGACUCUUGGACAAUAACUAGUUCACAGAAGUGCAAUCAGAAACAAAGGUGUUCCCUUGCACUUUAGAGGAAAGAUAAUAGUUUACUUUAUAAGCUAUGUACAACCCUUGAUCUGACUAGCUGUUAGAUUAGAUCAUUCAGAAAUAUCGAGCUUGCUUUCUGGUACCAAAUGGCAUCAGAUGUGAAUGGUUUUGAUUGGUUCGUUGGUUAGUUUGGUUGUUUGUAAGUUCUUGUUUUGUUUUUGCUAUUAUCAGUUUUUUUUUACUUAUUUUAUUUUGUUGUUAUUAAAACAAAUGGCUUGGAGCUGAAGAGAUGGCUCAGCAGUUAAGAGCACUGGGUGCUCUUUUAAAGGACCUGGGUUCAAUUCCCAGCACCCUCAUGGCAGCUCACAAUCUGAUCCCCUCACACAGACAGGCACAUAGACAGACAGACAGACAUGCAGGCAAAACACCAAUGUAUAUAAAAAUAAGAAUGUAUUUGAAAAUAAAAAUAAAUGGCUCAUUGGGUAAAAGCACUCGCCUGAUAAGCAUGAAGGCUUGAGUUUGAAUCCCCGGAGCCCGUGGAAAGGCAGGCGUAGUGGUGAGCGUGAUGGUGUGCACACGACCACACUUACACCCAUGCACACAUCCACCUUACAGACUCACUAAAGAAAGAGUGUCUGUCUGUCUGUUAGUCCAGGGAGUGACAGUAGGUCAAAUGCUUGCUGUACUGAGUUCACACUUCCACCUAAGGGACUGGCAUGGUCUGUAACCCAUGUCUGUAACCAUAGGGGUUACAGGGGUACAGGACAGGGGUUAUCCUGGAGGGGGCGCUGCUGGCCAGCUCUAGCUCGAGUGGGAGCCGAUGUCUGGAAAGAUCAGGUAGAGAGUGAGUGAUUGGAAAUGACCCUGGAAAGCAGCAACCUCUGGCCUUCUACACUUGCAAAUGAACACACCUGUGCAUGCACACGCAUGUACACGCUUACACUAAAUGUAUAAACGGUCCCUAAAAGUAUUAUUUGAGCAAAGGGGGUCUUGUAAGACUCCAGAGGCUUUAUAGUCAUUGUGCUAUUUUUUUGUUGUUGUUUUUGUUUUUUUGUUUUUUCGAGACAGGGUUUCUCUGUGUAGCCCUGACUGUCCUGGAACUCACUCUGUAGACCAGGCUGGCCUCGAACUCAGAAAUCCACCUGCCUCUGCCUCCCAAGUGCUAGGAUUACAGGCGUGCGCAACCACGCCCGGCGUCAUUGUGCUAUUUAAUUGCCUCAGACUUUCUAAAAAUGGACUUUGAGUGUUUGGGAUGCAAAGCCACAUAUCAGGAUGAACACUGGUGUACCACAGCAAGAAAGCAAGACAGGACCGCAGAGAAGCAAACUUCCGACUGUACUUUGGAAAUGAUCUUUUGUUAAGUGAAGCUCCUAGGGAAAGCCACGCCCAUACUAGCUGUCUUCAAAGCUAGCUGACUGUGAAGAACUUUAGGUGGGAGCCAAAAUCGUCUUGGGCUCUUGGCCUGUUAGUCAUUCAUUGCCUGUGAGCUAACAUGUGGUGGUUUGAAUAUGCCUGGUCCUGGGAGUGGGGUGUGUGUGUGUGUGUGUGUGUGUGUGGAGUGGGGGUGUGGCCUUGUUUGAGUGGGUGUGGCCUUGGAGGGAUGGCUGUGGCCUUGGAGUGGGUGUGGCCUUGGUGGGAUGGGUGUGGCCUUGGUGGGAUGGGUGUGGCCUUGGUGGGAUGGGCAGGCCAUCCCAUUCCCUUAUCCCACCUGCCUGGAAGUCAGUCUUCUAGCAUCCUUCAGAUGAAGAUGUGGAACUCUCAGCUCCUCUUGCACCAUGCCUGCCUGGAUGCUGCCAUGCUUCUACCUUGAUGAUAAUGGACCAAACCUCUGAACUUGUAAGCAUAAACCAGCCCCAAUUAAAUGUUGUCCUUAUAAGAGUUGCCUUGGUGUCUAUUCACAGCAGUAAAACCCUAACUAAGAUAUAACACCUCUGUGACUAAUACAUAAAUCAUUUAGAAAGGUGUGGUGGCUAUUCCUGGUUGUCAACUUGACUAUAUCUGAAAUGAACUACAAUCCAGAAUUGGAGGGGCGCACCUGUAAUCUAGAUCUUGAGGCUGGAAGAUGACCUGGAUAUUGGCAUGGCGAUCCUGAGGUAUAGUGGCCAUGAAAAGCUUAGGUGUAGGCAAAGUAGCACAUGUCUUUAAUCCCAGGAGACUGAGGUGAGGAGAUCUCCAAGUUGAAGGUCAGCCUGGGACAAAGCAAGUCCCAGCUCCAGGCGUGGUGGGCCACACCUGCUGCUGGAGGCCUACCUGGGGACAUUGGAAGAAGGAAGGCUCACUCUUCUUCACCUGCUUGCACUUACUUGCCAGCACAUCUGCUGGAAUCUACUUCUAAAGAAGACCCUUAAACACCCAGCCUCGUAGGACUGAGCAACUACUAGAUCCUUGGACUUCCAUUCACAGCUGACCACUGUUGGGUUAGAUUGAAGACUACGUCAUCAUAAUAAGUUCCCUUACUACAAAGAGACAUUCCAUAAGUUCUGUGACUCCCUGACUAAUACAGAGUGUUCAGAGCUUCCACCAACUCAAAGGCUAGGCCUGUGAUCACACGGCAUCUGAGACCUACAGCAGAGGUCUCUUCCCUAUAAUCUGCCUGCUUCUUCACCCAACUGUCUCCGCAUUGAAUCCUGGAAUUUGGAGCAUCCUAAAAUUGUGUUUCCAGGCCCUGCUGACUCAGGUUGGUUCUACAAUAAACUACCUCUCAUCCCUUUUAAGACAAGAGCUGUGGUUUUGUAAGGCUAUUUUUGCUUAUCUAUGUGUAUCUGUGUAUACACACGUGUGCUCAUCAGAGCCAAAGGUGGUCAUUGUUAAGAGCUGCCGGCUCGGGUGCUGGGAACUGAAUUCAGGUCCUCAGGAAGAACAGCAGGAAUGGGAACGGCCCUCAGAGACUCAUAUGUUCAGUUUACAGUUGAUGGGUUAUUUAGGAAGGAUUAGGAGGUAUGGUCUUGUUGGAGCAGAUGUGUCACCAGGAUGGGCUCUGAGGUUUCAGAAGCCCACACCAGGCCCAUGUCUGUCUUUCCGUCUUCCCUCUCCCCCGCUCUUCCUCUAUUUGUCAAUAAGAUAUAAGUUCUCAUCUACUCACUGCUACAAUGCCAUGCCUGCCUGCCAUGAAAGUCAUGGCCUCACCCUCUGAGACUAUAACACAGCCCCUGGCUAAUGCUUCCUUUUGUAAGUUGCUUGGUCACGGUAUUUCUUCACAGCAAUAGAAAAAUAACGAAAGUAAGCACUAUAUGUUCUUUAACUGCUGAAACAUCUCUAAUUUUUUAAAAGAUUUAUUUGUAUUAUUUUUACACAUAUAUAUCUCUUGUUCCCUUUGAGGUAAGAGCUGUGGUGGGUUUUGAUGCUGUUUGGGGAUUCUUAAAGAUUUGUUUAUGUAUGUAUGUAUGUAUGUAUGUAUGUAUUUAUUUAUGGUUUUUUGGAUUUGGUUGUUUCCACACAGGGUUUCUCUGUAUAGUCCUGGCUGUCCUGGAACUCACUCUGUAGACCAGGCUGGCCUCCAACUCAGAAAUCCACCUGCCUCUGCCUCCCAGAGUGCUGGGAUUACAGGCGUGCGCCACCACCGCCCGGCAAGAUUUAUUUAUUUUUUAAUUGUUCUUGUUCAUAUGUCGCUGUAUGCCUUGUACAAGUAGGUGCCUGUGAUGGGUCAGAAGAAGGUAUCCGGACCCCCUGGAGCUGGAGUUACAAGCAGUUACAAACACUGAACCCAGGUCUUCUGGAAGAGCAGGAAGUGCUCUUAACCCCGACUAUCUCUCCAGCUCCCUGACUUGUUUUUGACAGUUUCUGCUUGCAACAGAGUGUAUCUUCUCCAGUGACCACUGUCCAUUAUCCCUGUCCCUCUCGUGUCUGUUGGUCCUUGGCUUUAAAGGAUCCAAAACCCCCUUGGUAUCUGCUACAUGUUCUUAUCCAGUGAGACUCAGGCUGUGCCACACUCACUCUGCGGAUGGGGACUCCGGCCCGGCAGACCCUAGGGUUCCAGGAAUGUGAGGCACCAAGACCUUCGGGCGUCCGUAGGAGUGACAAUAAAAUAGGAUGUGAAACCAGACAGGAGCGGACGACUGAGGACCUGAAACGGAGAAGAAUCCUUUAGACACUGGAGAGAUCCGGCCAAGUCAUGUUUG